UCACUCUCACGGUCGUACACGGGCGCUA
rnacentral:sRNA from 1 species